AACCAGGCCAGAUCUCCCCAGGCAUCGGAACCAGCAGUGGGACCGGGGGUGGCGCCAUUGGGGAUCCUACCGCGGCAGCGGCUUGGCUGCCUCAGCCUUCCGCUUCCGGCCUCGGCAACCGCCGGAAGCCACGCCCCUUGAUCGCGGUUGCUAGCAACUCUUGCGGAAUGAACGAGGUAGCCCCAGUGGCCUCUACGAUGGCAGAGCUCCGGUGGAGACUAGGUCUCACUAUAUAGGUCUGGUGCUGAUCUGGAACUUGCUAUGUAAGCUGGAGUGGCUUUGAAUUCACAGAGAUCAACCUGCCUCAGCCUCCUGAACACUAGGAUUAAAGGGAUGUCCCAUUAUA